GGAUGAAGAACGCAGCGAAAUGCGAUAAGUAAUGUGAAUUGCAGAAUUCAGUGAAUCAUCGAAUCUUUGAACGCACAUUGCGCCCCUUGGUAUUCCGAGGGGCAUGCCUGUUCGAGCGUCAUUAUAACCCCUCAAGCUCAGCUUGGUGUUGGGGCCUGCCGCACGGGCAGCCCUUAAAAUCAGUGGCGGUGCCAUCUGGCUCUAAGCGUAGUAAUUCUUCUCGCUAUAGAGUCCCGGUGGAUGCUUGCCAUUAACCCCCAAUUUUCUAUGGUUGACCUCGGAUCAGGUAGGGAUACCCGCUGAACUUAAGCAUAUCAAUAAGCGGAGGA
rnacentral:misc_RNA from 1 species